CAGUAGCCGCGGUAAUGCGAAGGGUGCAAGCGUUAAUCGGAAUUACUGGGCGUAAAGCGUGCGUAGGCGGUUUGUUAAGUCUGUUGUGAAAUCCCCGGGCUCAACCUGGGAAUGGCAAUGGAUACUGGCAAGCUAGAGUGUGUCAGAGGAUGGUGGAAUUCCCGGUGUAGCGGUGAAAUGCGUAGAGACCGGGAGGAACAUCAGUGGCGAAGGCGGCUUACUGGCUCAUACUGGACGCUGAGGUGCGAAAGCGUGGGGAGCAAACAGGAUUAGAUACCCCUGUAGUCCCUGUCUCUUAUAC
rnacentral:rRNA from 1 species